AACGCAAAAGCACAAAGCCCGACUCCGGAGUGGCACUCGUGGGUGCUACCCAACCGGAUAUGCAAGCGUAUCUCUGCCGAGCUCAAUCAGACUCUCACAGGCUAUAGUCAAAGCAGAAGGGUCUAACUGGUCCUACAACGAAAACUCACGUACCCUCUGCACAAUCUAAUGCAAAAACAGCAAACCGGGUCCACCGUCAACCACAACGGCAUCCGACAGUCCGGAACAGUCUAUACACUACUGUAAAAAAAAACUCGGCAUCCCAGCACGAGUGUAAAUUCAUUCUACACUAUUCUGGAUAUCCACUGCCUACAAAUUGUGGCGAUACAAACAAACUACAGCUCCUAAAGCUAAAUCUGGUAGUUUUCAGAAAAUGACAGUGUAGAAGUUAUAGUUUUCUCCAAAGUCAAUUCUAAGUCCAACAUAAAAAAUUAUACUACUAGUUUAACUCCAAAUUCAGAUUUUAAGCCUAAUCCAUAAAUUCGAAUACUAGCAAAAAAAUAACACAUAAUAC
rnacentral:lncRNA from 1 species